UGGUAUUUUGCUGGAAGUGAUUCUUAGGAGUCCAGGUUAAUGACUGAUCUUUCAGCCUUUUCCAGAGUUUUGAGCAGAAAAAUGGGAUAGCUUACAAUUGGAGAAGUCAGCAGAUAAUACCUUGACUAAAUGAUCAACGUGAACAUCCAUCAUCAGUAAUGAGACAAACCAAAUCACUUGCCCCUGAUGGAAUGAAAUGAGAAAAAAACAGCCUCACUUAUGUAAUAGUCCAAGAAGAAAUGCAUAACCUAAAUUAAUUAUGGGGAAAUAUGAGACAAAACUAAUUAAGGACAUUCUAAACUUGCCUGUAAAUCUCGAAGUGUCAAUAAAAAGCCAUGGUAUGAAA